AUUGAAAGCUGGCGGCAGGCCUAACACAUGCAAGUCGAGCGAGAGGCGGACGGGUGAGUAAAGUCAGGGAAACUGCCUGAUGGAGGGGGAUAACGACAGGAAACGGUAGGUAAUACCGCAUACCAUCAGAGGGGCCCAGAUGGGAUUAGGCAGGAGGUGGGGUAACGGAGUACCAAGGAGACGAUCCCUAGCUGGUCUGAGAGGAUGACCAGCCACACUGGAACUGGGACACGGUCCAGACUCCUACGGGAGGCAGCAGUGGGGAAUAUUGCACAAUGGGCGCAAGCCUGAUGCAGCCAUGCCGCGUGUGUGAAGAAGGCCUUCGGGUUGUAAAGCACUUUCAGCGGGGAAGCGGUACCCGCAGAAGAAGCACCGGCUAACUCCGUGCCAGCAGCCGCGGUAAUAC
rnacentral:rRNA from 1 species